UUAUACUUAUUAUAAUGAAGAUAUAUUAGAUUUAGGUUCUAAAGAUAAAAUGUAUAUU
rnacentral:tRNA from 1 species